rnacentral:tRNA from 1 species
AGCUCCGAGGUGUAUUUACAUGUAAGAUUGCAAAUCUUAAGUGGCAGAGUAGUGACUGCCGGGGCUU